rnacentral:rRNA from 1 species
UACGUAGGGUGCAAGCGUUGUCCGGAAUUAUUGGGCGUAAAGAGCUCGUAGGCGGUCUGUUACGUCGGCUGUGAAAACCUGGGGCUCAACCCCGGGCCUGCAGCCGAUACGGGCAGACUAGAAUUCGGUAGGGGAGACUGGAAUUCCUGGUGUAGCGGUGAAAUGCGCAGAUAUCAGGAGGAACACCGGUGGCGAAGGCGGGGUCUCUGGGCAGUAACUGACGCUGAGGAGCGAAAGCGUGGGGAGCGAACAGG